ensembl:lncRNA
GCACCCUGAGGUGUCAGAGGCAGUGUGGGAGCCUGAAGACUAAAAUAAGACUGCGGUACUCUACUUGAGACUUGGUUUUGUGAGUUGUCUGUUUUCUGAUUCCUUGUGAGUCAGAAACUCCAGCUCCCACUCUGCUGGUGGAGUCAUGCAUCCAGUGACUAACGUUUGUGCUAAUAAUACACCUAUGAAGUUAUGCGGACCUCAGAAUUGUCUCGACAAACAGAAAGAAAUUUCGGGACUCCGGCAGAGCUCCAUUCCAUCCUCCAGCAACUUGCAUUUCCCCAGGUUUUUCUAAGUUGACUAUUCCUUGGAUUUCUGGAAGGCCUGAAGUAGGCAAAAACACAGAAUCAGCAGACACAAUUUACCCAGAAUCCAGAGAAGGGAAAUUGACAAGUAUAUAGGAAUGGACUCUUUGAACUCGGCAAUCCUCUCACACCUUGACAGUGGAUAACACUGCCUGCUCUGCUUUCCCCGUUUGACAUGUUGCACUUGGGCCUCUUCUUUCUGAAUCAUAGUGGUGCCUCGCUCCAAUUCCAAUUCUAACCCUCCUUCCAGAAGCCAUGCACUCCUACUUGGUAAGGCCAGUGUGGAAUUCACCCCUGUAUUUUGGAAAAUUAAAACAAUAAAACAACUGCAAUGAUUCUCACAUUGCCUAAGACACCUCUCAUCUCUUCUCCAUUAAAAACAAGACACUUGACAAGGUGUAAAACUUGACAAGGUAGUCCAAUGAUGGAGCACUUACCUAGCUAGGACACAAGACCCUGAGUUCCAUCCUUAGCACUAGGGGAAAAAAAAGAAUUUUUAAAGAAGAUCACUGCAUGACACACCCUGGAGGUCAUGCUGUGGAAUGACAGAUACAUCGGGGUUUGGUUUGGGAGUUGUCUAGCUGUCUGGAGAAGGCUACUUGGAAAACAAAGGAAUGACAUCAUUUGGAAAUCUUCCUGUACCAUCAGUUUCUUGACAUGGAUUUCUUUGGGAGUAAAGCAGUAAUCAACUUACCACUGAGUUCUUUGAAGACAGCUGAAGUAUUAAAGAUCUGGGUCACAAAUCAAUGAGGGAUUCAGUGUAAGUUUUCAAUUGUUUUUAUUUAAAAAAUAGUGUAGAAAUGCCAGCACUCACCAACUGUGCAAGAAAAAAAUCAUAGAACAAAACUCCCAAUCUCUGCUAUAUACAGGGAAAGGAAUAAAAAAGAGAAAAUUCAGUGACUAAAACCUUAAUUUCAUAUUUACACUUCCAUGGAGUUCCAGUCAUCAUAUCUGAAAACCAUUUGAACUGAUAAAGUCAGCAAUGUGCAAGGCAGUCCCAAUAGCUCAGUGUAUUGGAAACCUAGGAGAGUCCAUGAACAGUGGGGUAAUUGUGUGGAGAAUAUGAUGGCAGGCUUAAAUUGGAAAUAUUCAGAAUUUCUUCGGGGAUGGCCAGAAAAAAUGCAAAAACUCAGCAUUCUACUUAGCUUUCCUUCUUUUUUUUUUCUUCUCAUUCAUCCUCAUCAGCAUCUGAGACAAACUCUGCAGUGCAGAGUUUCACACACACAUCUGAGACCCCACAUCUCUCCCUAAGUCACAAAGUCAGUCCACAGAGCCUUGGCACCACACCAGACUGAGGUCACUAGAGCACAGAACCUGCCUACUAUUAUUAGAUAAGAUCACAGGUCAGUGUAAAGUUGUAGUCAUUUAUUUAAUAAACCCACAGGUGAGGAUUCACCUAACCUGUGGUUAUUACAUUUGCUUAUUAAUAUUUUUAAUGGUUAGGGGUUUUUUCCUUUUUGUAAGUGCUAGGGAUGGCUGCCAGGCCCUGCUUAUACUAGACAACACUCUACAAUUGAGCUGCAAGCCACCUAUUUAUUUAUUUAGAGACAAGGACUCACAAAUAUGUUCAGGUGGGUUCAAACCUGCAAUCCUCCUGCCUCGGCCUCCCAACUACUAGGACUUCAUGUGUGUUCAACUAUGCCCAGCAACAACCUCCCAUGGCUACCAUCUGACUCGUCAUAACCAAAAGCCACUUUGUUCUUCAGUUGUGUGGGCAUAGAGAUUCUGAGCCAUUGUUGAUCUCUUCCCUUUUCUCAAAAG